rfam:Triticum aestivum genome assembly, contig: Triticum_aestivum_CS42_TGACv1_scaffold_377108_5AL
UCCACUACUCAGUUGGUAGAGUAAAAAGCUCUUAACCUUAUGGACGUGGGUUCAAGCCCCAUGGUGGAG